CUGGAGUGACAAUUCCAGAAGGGUCUCAGUGCAUUGCCAGCCUCUUCCUACUGAAGAACUGACCCCUUGCGGGAUGCUUUAGUGACACCCGGAUACCCCACCCAGAAGGACGUGGCAGGUAUGGGGACUUACCCAAUGUCACCCCUCUGCCACUGACAGCAGGGACCACUGCUGUCUCCUUGCCUCAACCAUCCCUUUGUCCAACUUAGCUCUCACUGCUCUCACACUACAGGAUAGGAAGGAAAAGAAAUUCAGUCCGGCGCCUCUCCGGAGCAGGACAGAGAGGGGAACGGGUAUCUGCGGCUGCCAGGAGCUCAGCAUCUCCUCCGCCUGCCCCCGGCUCGGGCUCUGCCCCCACAUACCCCUGCACAACCCCUCUUCCCCUUCCCUGGGCUGGCAGGGCGGACGGGAGCUGGGAGGAAAGCUGCUCUGCCACAGUGCGCUAAAUGGGAUUCCUCAUGGGGAAGAGGAGGGAAGGGAAAAACAGAACCCCGCGCGCACUUUCCCUUCCGAUGCUCCCAAUCUCGCCACGGCACUGGAAAAGCCUCUUCUCCCCCCAGACCCCGCAGGGCAAGACCGGGCACGGUAAUUUGGGCUCUCCGCAGGGCAUCGGGGAAGCGCCUCUGCGGGCGGCCCCGCUCAGCCCCCGCGCUUCCCUGCGCUCCCCCCGGAGUCCCUCCGCCGCGGCGGCUGCGGGAGCCGCGGUGCCCCCGCCUCCGCUCCGUGCUCCGGAGGAUGCGGCGGAGCGGGUAUUUGGUGCAUGGCUGCCCGGAGGGGAUGGGACAGGGUGGGCUGGGGGGUCACUCACCUCCCUGCAAGGUGACCCGCGGCGCGGUGCUCCCGCUGGCGCGGCCGGAGGGGCGGCUCAGCGCCCGGGCGCUCCGCCCGGCAGCAUCCCCGCGGCGGGGGCGGCGGCGGGGACCGGGCCCGGGGCUGCACAGCGCGGGCGGCGACGGGGCUGCGCUCCUGCACCGCCUCGGCGGCACUGUGGGCUCGGGAGGAGGAGGAGGAAGAAGAUGAGGGAGGGAGGGGGAGAGAGAGAGAGAGAGAGAGGCAGGCGGAGGGAGAGAGGCAGGAGAACGAGCCCUGCGCGGCAGCGCGGCCAACUUUCCUUCUGCGGCGCAGCAGGAACAGCCUCCCGUCCCUCGGUGUGUAACCCCCACCCCGGCGUAAUGACGAGCACACUGGGCUGCAUCCCACGGCAUUGA
rnacentral:lncRNA from 13 species